UCAAGACUUCACCAUGCCAAAAAAUGCCGACUUUUCGCUCAAAACCCUCUUCGUGCACUACCAAGCCAUCGCCGAAAUUGAAUUUGGUCUUUGUUGUACGCCGUGGAAAUAUACUUGCUCACUUAUGACGACGAGGAGUUUUCCAUUCUCUACUACUGGUUUAUCGCUGGCGCCGUUCUAGAACUCCUAAAAGGCGCGAUUUUACUCCAAGGAAUACGAAAAG